rnacentral:tRNA from 1 species
GUUUUCUUGGUGUAGUGGUCAACAUGCUCGACCCGUAACCGAGAGGUCCGUGGUUCGAUUCCCGGGGAAGGCG